rnacentral:rRNA from 1 species
UAUGGUACCAGCAGCCGCGGUAAUACGUAGGUGGCGAGCGUUAUCCGGAAUGAUUGGGCGUAAAGGGUGCGUAGGUGGCAGAUCAAGUCUGGAGUAAAAGGUAUGGGCUCAACCCGUACUGGCUCUGGAAACUGAUCCGCUAGAGAACAGAAGAGGACGGCGGAACUCCAUGUGUAGCGGUAAAAUGCGUAGAUAUAUGGAAGAACACCGGUGGCGAAGGCGGCCGUCUGGUCUGGAUUCUGACACUGAAGCACGAAAGCGUGGGGAGCAAAUAGG